rnacentral:lncRNA from 1 species
ACAAGGAUUACAGAUGAGACUCCACCCAAUAACAAAGACUCACUGAUGACAUACUCCGAUAUAUUAUUCCCAUAGCAGCUAUUAUUACUAGUAACUCUUAAAUGGCAUCAAACCUCACUCAAAUGACUUCACUCCGAGGCCACGGCCGGCUCCGCUGCAGCCUCCUCGGCGGCGGCCGGUGCAGCGGCUUCUUCGGUUGCCGCCUCCGGCUCCUCGACCGUCGGAUCCGUGGUCUCCUCAGCUACGGGAGCGGCGGCCUCGGGUUCAGCCUCCGGCUUUGCCUCCUCGGUAGGCUCCGCUGCUGCCGGUUCGGCCUCGGUGGCUACGGGCUCGGCCGCGGGCUCUUCAGCCGGCGUCUCCUCAUGCUCUGCUGCUGCUGCUGCUUCUUCUGCUGGGGUUUCUUCUUCUUCUUCUUUGGGCUCGUCGACGGCCGGAGCAGGAGCAGGUUCGGCCUCGACGGCCGGCGCAGGUGCAGGUUCGGCCUCGACGACAGUAGCAACCGGGACAUCAGCCGGAACCUCAACGACAGGAGCUGAUUCGACCUGCAUGAAGACAACAGAAGGAGACAUUUAGCUCUAACUCGGCCGUGCAUCGGUGUGGAUGACGACUGAGCAUGCAGAUCCAGGAGCUCUUCCUAGGAAUCACAUCUUUCUAGCAGAUCUAAAGUAGAUGCAGGCAGAGUUCAACCCUCACUCCAUCUACAACCGAGUGUUCCCGAGAAGAGAGAUAACAAGUGAGUUCAUGCUCUCUUCAGGUUCGGAUAGCUACACCAGACAUGAUCGAACCUGAGAUCAUCGAUCUGAUCUCAAGUAAACCCCCUCCCCCCACACACACAACACAACCUACUCUUUUGCUGAUCUGAUCUGAUCUCUAGGCAGGAGGAUCAUGACAGAAGCCAAUUGCAGCUGAUGGCUCAUAGGACAAGGUCGUGGCUCACCUCAACAGAAGCCAUGGGAGAAGGUGAGAAGAGCUGAAGGAGAACAAGAGUGGAGCGACAAGUGAUCUACCAAAGCAGUGGGGUGGGAGAGGUCAUUGGGGAUGGAAGGGUAUUUAUACAGAGAUGCAAUGGCACUCAGAAUCUUUACAGACAACCAGCCACGUACGAUUGGCUGGAUCACACCAUUAGUUUACUCUCCCAUCUCCGGUCAUCCACGCACCUUUUGCCCAUCAGUGUGUGUGUAUUAUUUUGCGUGAUGCACUCCCAGCUAUAAUGGAUUGAUAUGUGCACUCCCUCCAUCUUUGGAUAUAUGCUACUGUGUUGGUAAUAUGAACAGAAAUUAUCUUAGUAAUUCGCAAAUUAUGUAAACGCGAUGAAUUAUUAUUAUUAUUGACUAUAGUAAACAAGAUUACAUAAAAAAUCUCAUACGAUUUUG